rnacentral:rRNA from 1 species
CGCGUAGGCGGUCCGAUAAGUUGGAUGUGAAAGCCCUGGGCUCAACCCAGGAAGUGCAUCCAAAACUGGCGGACUUGAAUCUCGGAGGGGGCCAGAGAAUUCCCGGUGUAGAGGUGAAAUUCGUAGAUAUCGGGAGGAAUACCAGUGGCGAAGGCGCUGGCCUGGACGAAGAUUGACGCUGAGGUGCGAAAGCGUGGGGAGCAAACA